rnacentral:rRNA from 1 species
UACGUAGGGUGCGAGCGUUAAUCGGAAUUACUGGGCGUAAAGCGUGCGCAGGCGGUUUUGUAAGCCAGAUGUGAAAUCCCCCGGGCUUAACCUGGGAAGUGCGCUCGAAAACUGCGCGGCUCGAGUGCCGGAGGGGAGAGUGGAAUUCCUGGUGUAGCGGUGAAAUGCGUAGAUAUCAGGAGGAAUACCGGUGGCGAAAGCGACUCUCUGGACGGCAACUGACGCUGAGGCACGAAAAGCGUGGGGGAGCAAACAGG